UCCUACGGGAGGCAGCAGUGGGGAAUAUUGCACAAUGGGCGCAAGCCUGAUGCAGCGACGCCGCGUGAGGGAUGACGGCCUUCGGGUUGUAAACCUCUUUCAGUAGGGAAGAAGCGAAAGUGACGGUACCUGCAGAAGGAGCGCCGGCUAACUACGUGCCAGCAGCCGCGGUAAUACGUAGGGCGCAAGCGUUAUCCGGAAUUAUUGGGCGUAAAGAGCUCGUAGGCGGUUUGUCGCGUCUGCCGUGAAAGUCCGGGGCUCAACUCCGGAUCUGCGGUGGGUACGGGCAGACUAGAGUGAUGUAGGGGAGACUGGAAUUCCUGGUGUAGCGGUGAAAUGCGCAGAUAUCAGGAGGAACACCGAUGGCGAAGGCAGGUCUCUGGGCAUUAACUGACGCUGAGGAGCGAAUGCAUGGGGAGCGAACAGGAUUAGAUACCCUGGUAGUCCAUGCCGUAAACGUUGGGCACUAGGUGUGGGGGACAUUCCACGUUUUCCGCGCCGUAGCUAACGCAUUAAGUGCCCCGCCUGGGGAGUACGGCCGCAAGGCUAAAACUCAAAGGAAUUGACGGGGGCCCGCACAAGCGGCGGAGCAUGCGGAUUAAUUCGAUGCAACGCGAAGAACCUUACCAAGGCUUGACAUGGACCGGUAACACCUGGAAACAGGUGCCCCGCUUGCGGCCGGUUCACAGGUGGUGCAUGGUUGUCGUCAGCUCGUGUCGUGAGAUGUUGGGUUAAGUCCCGCAACGAGCGCAACCCUCGUUCCAUGUUGCCAGCGCGUAAUGGCGGGGACUCAUGGGAGACUGCCGGGGUCAACUCGGAGGAAGGUGGGGACGACGUCAAAUCAUCAUGCCCCUUAUGUCUUGGGCUUCGCGCAUGCUACAAUGGCCGGUACAAAGGGUUGCGAUACUGUGAGGUGGAGCUAAUCCCAAAAAGCCGGUCUCAGUUCGGAUUGGGGUCUGCAACUCGACCCCAUGAAGUCGGAGUCGCUAGUAAUCGCAGAUCAGCAACGCU
rnacentral:rRNA from 1 species